GCAUAUCAAUAAGCGGAGGAAAAGAAACCAACAGGGAUUGCCUUAGUAACGGCGAGUGAAGCGGCAAUAGCUCAAAUUUGAAAUCUGGUACCUUCGGUGCCCGAGUUGUAAUUUGUAGAAGAUAUCUUUGGUGUUGGCCCUUGUCUAUGUUUCUUGGAACAGGACGUCACAGAGGGUGAGAAUCCCGUGCGAUGGGGUGUCCAAUGCUAUGUAAAGUUUCUUCGACGAGUCGAGUUGUUUGGGAAUGCAGCUCUAAGUGGGUGGUAAAUUCCAUCUAAAGCUAAAUAUUGGCGAGAGACCGAUAGCGAACAAGUACAGUGAUGGAAAGAUGAAAAGAACUUUGAAAAGAGAGUGAAAAAGUACGUGAAAUUGUUGAAAGGGAAGGGCUUGAGAUCAGACUUGGCUUUGCCGGGCCAGCAUCGGUUUGGAUGGUAGGAUAAUGACAUUGGAAUGUAGCAUGACUUCGGUGAUGUAUUAUAGCCCUUGUUGAUACUGCCUGUCUAGACCGAGGACUGCGUCUUUUGACUAGGAUGCUGGCAUAAUGAUCUUAAUCCGCCCGUCUUGAAACACGGACCAAGGAGUCUAACGUCUAUGCGAGUGUUUGGGUGUA
rnacentral:rRNA from 1 species